UGCGCGCUUCAUAGCCGAUCUAUAUGCGGAUAAAAACGCUUUCUCUAUCUCCGUGUUCAUCUCUACAGUUGUUUUGGAGGAAAUGAUACACGUAUUUGAGAUAUUCCGCAGUAAUUCUCGUCUUUAGGACCCAGCAGAGACAUCAAACCGGAGUCGCGUCCAGUCUUGUUGAAGGAAGUUGCUAGUUUUCCCAAGAAGUACGGAAUCCGAGCAUUAUAUUAUUAUUGGUUAUUAUUCGCCGCUAGAGGGCGCUGAAUGGAUCGCAACGUGAGAAAGUUAUCCUGGACGAACAGAGCAGAAGCUUGCUACAUCGUCUUUUAUCAGAAGAGGAUUUAUUAUCCAUUUCAAGGUUGCUCUGGACAGAGCGAGCUUUAAUCCCCCUUGAUAAUCUUGUUGAGA